UUCCAAACUUCUUCCGGCCACGAACGACUUUACUCCAAACUUUUCCCGGACUCCUACAGGAGCUGGACUCCGUCCGAACUUCUACAAUGAAUGGAUUCCAGACGAAUUCCUAUAAAAGUCGGAUCUCUACCCCAAACUUCUAUGGCAAGUGGACUUCAUCCGAACUCCUAUAAGGGCCGGGCUCCGUCAGAACCUCUACAGCAGAUGGAUCACAGACGAGCUUCUACAACGAACAGGCUCCACCAGUAGGAUCUCUACCCCGAACCUCUUUCGAACUUCGUC
rnacentral:lncRNA from 1 species